rnacentral:rRNA from 1 species
CCAAUAGCGUAUAUUAAAGUUGUUGCAGUUAAAAAGCUCGUAGUUGAAUUUCGGGAUUGGCGCAUCGGUCGUGCCUUACGGGGUAUGAACUGGUGCAGUCAAUUUCUCACCUUCUGGAGAACCGCGAUGUCCUUAAUUGGGUGCCGCGGGGAACCAGGACCUUUACUUUGAAAAAAUUAGAGUGUUUAAAGCAGGCAUUUUUGCUUGAAUACAUUAGCAUGGAAUAAUAAAAUAGGACGGCAUGGUUCUAUUUUGUUGGUUUCUAGGACCACCGUAAUGAUUAAUAGGGAUAGUUGGGGGCAUUAGUAUUCAAUUGUCAGAGGUGAAAUUCUUGGAUUUAUUGAAGACUAACUACUGCGAAAGCAUUUGCCAAGGAUGUUUCCAUUAAUCAAGAACGAAAGUUAGGGGAUCGAAGACGAUCAGAUACCGUCGUAGUCUUAACCAUAAACUAUGCCGACUAGGAAUCAGACGAUGUUAAUUUUUUAAUGACUCGUUUGGCACCUUACG